rnacentral:lncRNA from 1 species
UAAGAUAGAAUCGGCAGGACAGCUACCCCCCGAAACUCUUUUCACCGAGGCUGUGAAAAUCUUGGAAGACAAGUGUGAGCGUGUGAUCACCGAACUCUCAUGAAUCUUUCUUUUCAGGGGCAAAAUAUCAAUUAUAAGUUAUUAAAAAGAAUUGAUAUAGGCAGUUUUCCUAUCUAAAAAAACAGAAUAUAGCUUUUCUGAUUCCUGGUUGAAGAAAGGAAAAAGAAAUAUGUUUGCUGAUUUGGUUGUACCAAAUUAUGGUGGCAGAGUUGUAACAGAUGAGUGUUCUUUGUUGUUUGAGAGGCCUUAGGAAUUUUUGGGAAGUUGAUGGUUGUGAGACUGGAUGCCCAUUAGUUACAUGUGGAAAAUAGAUAUCGAAAAUUAGUUGAGGAUAAUUUGAAAAAGUGUAAUGACUUAUCUUCCAAUGCCCUCGCUCUCUUUCUCUCUCAUGACUUAUUUUGCAAUGUUGUAUAUAUAUCUCUCUCUCUCUCUGCUGGUGAUUCAUAGCAUAUGUAAAGGUGUUGGAGGAGAUGCUUUCAUAGUGGUUUUGGUAACUGCUUUUGGAGUGGUUUUGUUUAUUGCUUCCAUUUUACUUCAUAAAGGGUCAGCUUUUAUUGCUUCACUUCCUAAAUAAGACUUCCGUCAAUGAUUUGUUUUCUUGCAUCUUGAGGUUGUGUUGGCUUGAAUGGCUUCCCUAUAAUAAUCCUUAUCAAGAAAGGGACUGUAUGCUCGGGUACACGGAGCUCACAAUUGCUUAUAACUAUUCGAUGUGAAAUCUGACGGCUUGGUACAAGGAGCUCGCAAUUGUUUAUAACUAUUCGAUGUGAAAUCCGAUGGCUUGGGUUAUUUGUUUGAAAAAUUUUCUUGACUUUUAAGCCUAGUCACAAGAGGAAUUGCAACCCAUAAUUUUAGGGGCAAGCUUUCUAUGUUUCCCCUACAGUAUAAACUUAUAUACUUCUCGUUAUCCAACCCUCUAUUUUGAAGGGAGGGUUAAGAUUAUUAUUCUAUUUUUAAUUUUUUUCUAUAAACCAUUUUGACACCAAAUUUUGGAUGUCCAAUCCUCUAUUAAACUUGUACCAGCAAAAAAAUAUGAAACAAAUAUUUUCAAUAAAAUAGAAUGAUCAAAAUACCUGGAAAAGUUUCAAGAGGUAUUUUGGUUAUUAUAUUUUAUCAAAAAAUUAUUAUUUUUAAUAUUAUUUUAUAGGUGUGCCUUUAGGAGAAGAUGACGCGUCACAAAUUUCAUAUUCAUACAAUUUGUAUAAAAAAAACUGAAUAAAAUACUUUGAGAUGUCGGAUCUAAGAUCAAAUGGUGAGUGACUCUCUUGAUCAAAAUUGGACGGUUGGAUGAUAAGGGAAGCAUAGAUCUUCUAUGCUGUAGCGGAACUAUAGAAACCUAAUUCUAGAGCUUAUUUAAGACUAUUUUUGCAAAAAGAGACUAUUAAAAUGUAGGAGCUUAUAUUAGACUAUUUUUGAAAAAGAGAUACUACUAAAAUGUAGGAGCUUAUUUUAGACUAUUUUUGAGAAAGAUAUACUACUAAAAUGUAGGAACUUAUUUUAGACUAUUUUUGAAAAAGAGAUACUACUGAAAUGUAGUUCUCUUUCUAUAGCCUACUUUAGACGUGGAUUGAUGAUCUGAAAUGCAUCCUAAGUCACUCUAGACGUUUUUGCUUCUGAUCCAUAAUCUUAUAGCUUAAAGAAUAGUGCAGAUCUGAUGAUAUGUAAAGAAUUAGAAUGAAUGUUGAUGAAUGAUCUGAAAGCAAAAGGUUAAUAUAAUCUGUUUUUAAGGUUUUAUUUUUCAUAGAUCUAAGAUGGCGGUUGCCGACGACUGCCAAAAAUAUUUGUCCAAAAUUCAUCUUUGAGAUAGACUUUUAAGAAGACUGCAUUGCAUAGUAGGACUAGGAACAAAAACCUGUUUCAAAAACACAGGAGUAUUUAGAAUCAUGAGUGUUUAGAAAAGGAAAUGCAUACUUUAAAAUCAAUUACGCUUGGCACAUGAGGUUACAAUCAUUAUGGAUUGGUAGAUGUUAAAUCGAGUGAUUGGGUAUGUAACAUUGACUAGGAAUGAAGCCUAAAAUAAAAAAUUACUAAUAUUGUGCAACAUUUCAACGUGUCAAUUUCCUAUCCAAUGGAUAAUAUGUUAAAUUUUUUUUCUAAUAUGGUGACUUAGAUUGCCAUAUCCCAAAAAUUGUUCUGGAUUGGUGGAUUGAGGAUUCGGCUGAGAGAACGAGAAAAAAAAAAUUAAAAAUUUUGAGAAAAAUUAAAAAUUUUGAGAAUAAAAAAAUUGAAAAAAAAAAAGAGAGUAGUUUCGAGACAGAAUCGGCUGGUUCCCAACAAAUUGGGGGAAUCAAACUCGCCCCCUCAAUUCCCGGACCAGAUAUGGUGGUUCUAAUCUGGAUUGGUGCUUUUUAAACCCUAGUUAAUAUCGAUUACACCAAACGUAAAUGGUCUCAUUAUAUGCAAUUUUUUUAAUUUUUUUUAAAAAUACUAAAAAAUAAAAAUAUUUAAGAGCACUAUUAAUCUCAAGGGAAAGCUUUCUAUGUUCCUCCAGCAACGUAGAAGUUCUAUGUUCCCCCUUAUCCAACCGUCCCUUUUUGAAUGGAGGGCUAAGAUUGCCCCAAUCACAAUGUCACGUCUCUACACUGNNNNNNNNNNNNNNNNNNNNAAUUCCUCACUGUCUGUUCCUAUUGAUGGGCAGUGGAGAUUAUCUGCGGCUUCCAAUGGAUGCCACUUAUCUGAGUGUGGUUGAUUAAUCUCUACCAUUGGUCAUCUUGAUGGGCAGUGGGGUCCAAUUGUGCCCCAUAUACAUAUGCCUUCUGUGUGAUACACUUCCCCUGUUUUGGAACCAAGGAAAGUGAAUUCAAUUUUGGGUAUGGCAUACAUGCAACACAUCUGGUGAUCCAUAUCACGGCAUAAAAUAUGUGGUCACAAGGGUCAUCACCGUCCAAUCUAUGGGUUGGAUGUCAAUGGAAAGAGAUUGGGGCCUAUUAAACUUAAUUCAAUUGCACAGCCUACUCUCACCAUCAUUGUCCAUCCCGUUGGUUGGAUGCUGAUGACCCUUAUGAUGGCAUAUUUAAUAUGUUUAUAUGGAUCAUAACACACUUGUCCUAGUUGUUUUCUAUUCGUUGCGUGGGUUGAAUUUGGAUUAAAAUCAAAAUAUUUGUGCUGAAUCUUUUGCAGUUAAGAUAGAAUCGGCAGGACAGCUACCCCCCGGAACUCUUUUCACCGAGGCUGUGAAAAUCUUGGAAGACAAGUGUGAGCGUGUGAUCACCGAACUCUCAUGAAUCUUUCUUUUCAGGGGCAAAAUAUCAAUUAUAAGUUACUAAAAAGAAUUGAUAUAGGCAGUUUUCCUAGCUGAAAAAACAGAAUAUAGCUUUUCUGAUUCCUGGUUGAAGAAAGGAAAAAGAAAUAUGUUUGCUGAUUUGGUUGUACCAAAUUAUGGUGGCAGAGUUGUAACAGAUGAGUGUUCUUUGUUGUUUGAGAGGUCUUAGGAAUUUUUGGGAAGUUGAUGGCUGUGAGACUGGAUGCCCAUUAGUUACAUGUGGAAAAUAGAUAUCGAAAAUUAGUUGAGGAUAAUUUGAAAAAGUGUAAUGACUUAUCUUCCAAUGCCCUCUCUCUCUCUCUCUCACAUGACUUAUUUUGCAAUGUUGUAUAUCUCUCUCUCUCUCUCUCUGCUGGUGAUUCAUAGCAUAUGUAAAG